GUGUCAGCCGCCGCGGUAAUACGUAGGUGGCGAGCGUUGUCCGGAAUUACUGGGCGUAAAGGGUGCGUAGGUGGUAGUUAAAGUCAGAUGUGAAAACCCCGGGCUUAACCUGGGAACUGCAUUUGAAACUUAACUACUAGAGUGCAGGAGAGGAAAGCGGAAUUCCUAGUGUAGCGGUGAAAUGCGUAGAUAUUAGGAAGAACACCAGUGGCGAAGGCGGCUUUCUGGACUGUAACUGACACUGAGGCACGAAAGCGUGGGGAGCAAACAGGAUUAGAUACCCUGGUAGUCCACGCUGUAAACUAUGAGUGCUAGGUGUAGGGGGUAUCGACACCCUCUGUGCCGCAGCAAACGCAAUAAGCACUCCGCCUGGGGAGUACGGUCGCAAGACUAAA
rnacentral:rRNA from 1 species